AUGCAUGAGAAGGAAGGUGGAGCACCUAGAGAGCAAAGAACCAUGCAAGCAUUCAGAGACGUUCUAUCUAAAUGUGAGCUUAAAGAUAUGGGGGCUACGGGGGACGUUUAUACAUGGAGUACAAGGAUGAUUAAGGAAAGGCUUGAUAGAGCUAUUUGCAACUCAAGAUGGAGUCAACUUUUCCCUAAUGCAGGGGUCAUCAAUGGUGAAAUGACUAAGUCUGACCAACGGCCAUUGGUGAUUAAUACUGAACUAUACGCAGAGGUGAAUCGGUCUCCUAGUUCAAUGAAGAGAUUUGAGGGGAGAUGGCUUAAGGAGGAAACAGUCGAGGAGGUGGUCUGA
rnacentral:rRNA from 1 species